rnacentral:snoRNA from 1 species
GCCCGAGGAUUAUAGACUAUAUUUGCUACUGCUGAGUGCUAUGAUGUUCAAAUUUAUCACCAAGAUCUAUGAGGGC